rnacentral:rRNA from 1 species
AUUGAACGCUGGCGGUAGGCCUAACACAUGCAAGUCGAACGCGAAAGUCCCUCGGGAUGAGUAGAGUGGCGGACGGGUGAGAACGCGUAGGAAUCUAUCCUGUAGUGGGGGAUAACGUUUCGAAAGGAACGCUAAUACCGCAUACGCCCCAAGGGGGAAAGCGGGGGAUCUUCGGACCUCGUGCUAUAGGAGGAGCCUGCGUCGGAUUAGCUAGUUGGUGAGGUAAAGGCUCACCAAGGCGACAAUCCGUAGCUGGUCUGAGAGGAUGAUCAGCCACACCGGAACUGAGACACGGUCCGGACUCCUACGGGAGGCAGCAGUGGGGAAUAUUGCGCAAUGGGCGAAAGCCUGACGCAGCCAUACCGCGUGUGUGAAGAAGGCCUUCGGGUUGUAAAGCACUUUCAGUGGGGAGGAAAAGCUGGUGGCUAAUAUCCAUCGGCCGUGACGCUACCCACAGAAGAAGCACCGGCUAAUUCCGUGCCAGCCGCCGCUGUAAUAC